ACCCUCCAACCAGGAAAGAUGCCGUCCCUGGCGGGACAGCAGAGGAGCUCAACACAGAGACAGGGGCAACUAUCCCUCCAGCCCUCUCACGGAAGCCACACGACUCAGUCUCUCCCUCUGACUUUGGCACCCUCUGAGCCACUGUCCCUCUGACGGAGUCCAAGGUGAAUGCCAGCAGGAUAUAAGUCUAAAGAAUCACAGAACCUUCCAUUCGGACAUCAUUUUGGAUUACUGAUUUCAGUCUCUCAUCUAUUUUGUGAAGAUCCUCCUGCCACCCUGACAGAGGGACCAUCGAGCUUCUGUUUUACUAUCAAUCUCUCUGGAAGAACAUUCCCAAGCCCUGGGGACCACGUGGAUGGAUGCCUGUC